AUUUUCAUUUUAUUAAUUGUACUUUGUUUAUCUUUGUAUGGUUCACCGAGGGAGAAAGGAAGAAGAAAGAAGGGUUUCAAAAAUGGAGUUUCUUAAGGAAGAUGAAGGGAUGAGAAAAUGAACAAAAUGAAGUUUACAGUGGUUUACCACAUCGCCUACAUCCACUGUUCAAGAAGUUGAAACCCUUUUGCAGAAGGUAGUUCAUCAACAAAUUUCAACAUCCAAGUUCUACGUGUCCGACUCUAGACGACCACAUUACUAACUAGGCGAUGAGAUCUAGGCGUCCUAUUUCAAGCUACGAGUUCUUGGCCGCAUUCUUUAGGCAUCCAGUUUCUACUUCCAAAUGUUCAUCAACUUUUGCUACCAGUCGUUGAGAUUAACAUAUCUUGCUAGAUGUCCAACAAUUAUACCAACACUUUUAAGAUAAAUCCUUCUACACUAUUUGUGGUGGUUAGAGCAUGAAAUAUCGAUGUUUUGUCUAUCGAUCUCCACACUCAAUUCAAAGUCGUAAUGUUUGAGGUCAAGGUCAGAAAAUGUAUUUUCCAUCCUCGUCCUCGCUUAGUGAACUAGGAGAAAAUUAAUCACGCUUCCUCUCCCAUUCUUCGUCCAAAAUGGGAUUGGUCCUGUAAGAUUCCAGUCCUACAGAGUAAAUGGACAUCUCUACCAAUAUUUGAAA